rnacentral:rRNA from 1 species
AUAUGAGUUUGAUCCUGGCUCAGGAUGAACGCUAGUAGUAUGCUUAACACAUGCAAGUCGAACGAAAAUUUUUUCGUGGCGUACGGGUGAGUAGACGCAGAAUUUUUCCUUUUAGUUCAGAACAAAUAUUGCUUUAAGUAAUAAAAUACUGAAUAUAUUUAAAGGUUUAAUCCGCUAAAAGAUAAAUCUGCUUAAGAUUAGGUUGUUGGUAAUUUAAAAGCUUACCAAGCCCAUGAUCUUUAGUUGGUCUGAGAGGAUGAUCAACCACACUGGAACUGAAAUAAGGUCCAGGCUAAUUCGUUGGCCAGCAGUGAGGAAUAUUGGACAAUGAACGAAAGUUUGAUCCAGCAAUACUAACUGGGUGAUGACGGCUUAUUUAAGUUGUAAGAUCCUUUAAUUAAAAAAGAUAAUGACAUUAUUUAAUUGAAUUAGUCCUGGCUAAUACUCGUGCCAGCAGCCGCGGUAAUACGGGAAGGGCAAGCGUUAUCCGGCAUGACUGGGCGUAAAGAGUCCGUAGACUGUAAAGCAAGUUUUUUGUUAAAUUUUAAGACUCAAUCUUAACAUAGCAAUUAAUACUACUUUACUAAGAGUUUAAUACAGAAAAGUAGAAUUUUAUACGGUAGAGGUGAAAUUUGCAGAUAUAUAAAGGAAUGCCAACAGCGAAGGCAACUUUUUGGUAUAAACUGACGUUGAGGGACGAAAGCGUGGGUAGCAAACGGGAUUAGAGACCCCGGUAGUCCACGCCGUAAAUUCUGAGUGCUGUAAUUUAAUUGUAAUAUUUUUAAAUAUUAUUUAGAUUUUCAAGCUAACGCAAUAAGCACUCCGCCUGAAGAGUACGAUCGCAAGAUUGGAACUCAAAGGAAUUGACGGGGGUCUAACACUAGUGGUGGAGCAUGUGGUUUAAUGCGAUAAUCCGCGCAAAACCUUACCAAUUUUUGACAUAGCUAAGUAAUUAUUCUGAAUUAAAUAUAUAUUUAGUGUAAUUACUUUUUUACAGGUGUUGCACGACUGUCGUCAGCUCGUGUCGUGAGAUGUUUGGUUAAGU